UUGGAGAUGGUGAAGCUGCUAGUGGGGACAUAGGACGCCGAUGUUGACAUCAGGGACUACAUUGGGGAAAGGGCCUCCCAGCAUGUGAGUCAGAGCAUCACAGAAGAGAUUGAGACCCUGAUGGGAGUCCUGGACAAGGACGAUGGGGAGAGCACCCCCAGCAGCGGGGGUGGGUACUGGAAGAUUUAAAAGCUUCCCCCUCCAUCUCACCACCUACAAACUCUCACACGUCCUGGAAGAUGGGGGGACCCUCUCCACCAUCACCACUUGGCUGAAGGUGGUCCAGACGUGAAGCCAAGGAUUCCAGGGUGCACAGCGUCGGGCAGGACUAAUGGACUUAAAAAACACAGGCUCAACAAAAUCCACUUCACAACCCAGAUGGUUCACAUCACACCCUCUUUCAAGGACCCAGAGCAGCCACUGGAAGAGAAGGAGUAGGAACGCUCUCUUAAAGUCCACUUAUCCUAUUCCUUCAAAUUAAGACCAAAGUCCAAUGUAUUU
rnacentral:lncRNA from 1 species